AGUCCGGAGACGUCGGCGGGGGCC
rnacentral:ncRNA from 2 species